rnacentral:lncRNA from 1 species
UUUUUUUUUUCUAACAUAUAACUGAAUUAAGAGAUGGAAAAUAUAACAGAACCCGUCACCCAACAUCUUCUGAAAUAUUUAAGGCACCGCCACAAUUAACAAUUUGAAAAGCCUUAUUCAAGAAAUUCAACGCACGCUAAUGAAAUAAAUUUCUGGCUCCGCCACUGAUCACAGAUUACAAGAAGAUGCAAAAGAGCUACCACGGUUUGAGGUCGGCGACGGGGCCGGCGUCCCAGUUCAAGAAUGUCUGGCCUGGCUUCAAGAAGGCGGCGUUGGGGUGGGGCAGCUUUCGAGCUAGGCCGUUCAAGAUCUGAUGGAAAACUCAUUUAAUUCCAGCUUCAGGGAGUGAAUAGAUGAGAGGUUGUUACACUGCUCAAAUUGCACACAACAAAUCAAUUCAAAAUUGUAAUUUUAUAGAUAGAAUUCUCAUAGUUAGUAAGUACAAAUAUUUGGUGCUAUCAUACGGUUAGGUUAAGCAAUGACUUCAUUCACCAUGCAUUCCCUCAACUUAAGCUCCACAUAUUCCCCCACUCUAACAACAUCGCAGCAUUCACACCGAUCCAUCUAACAAGAAAUGAUAAAUAACAAUUAAUAUAUGGAAAAAAGAAAGGGGAAAAAAAUUUGAAAGGGAAAUUAAGGUCACCUCUUUCCGCUUGGUUGCUGGGGAAAGGACACGGAUCUCGAAGACAAGAUCCGCUUUAUCUUUAGCCGUUAAAAAGCAAGGUGGUAUCCCACGAGGCGCCACUCGAGAGUAGGUGGUUAGGAUUCCCAUCGAAACCUUGUCUACUUUCUUAAAGAAGAAGAUAUGGGGGACAAGGCAGGAAUCAUUGGAUGGUAACCUCGUAUUGAACAUGUAGAGAGGCGGCGGCAGAGGCAUGCGUGACCACGGCUGGAAUGUCUCGAGGGGCUUUUGCAGGUGGCUUCGAGGCAUGAUUUGCUCGUAUAUGUGGGCGGAGUAGCCCCACGAAACGGACAAGGACCAAUUGCUUUGCCUGUGGUGGCAGAUGGUUUGUUGUAGCAUACGGGAUUGGUCGGCCGCCGCCGCCUUCAUGAGGUGCCGUGUCGACUGGUAACGAUUCAUGCCGGGGAAUAUUGGUUUCACCGCAUCAAAAUGGUGGAGGGAGAGUAGUGAGGAUUUUGGAUGUGAAGAUAAGAAUCCGGAGAGAUCGCCGCGUAAAUCAAUCUGCAAAAAUGGACUACUUUUUUUGGGCGGAGAGAGUAUAAUAAUAUAAAAAAAUUGAUAAUAUUUGAGGUCAAAAGUUUCAAGUUUCGGAUCCACCCCUAUUAAAUCAAUCACUAAUUAAUACUCGACUUCUGUGAGUCGAGCAUUAGUGAUAAAUACACCAAUGCUCGACAUGUUCGACUAUUGCGAGUCGAGCAUUUUUAAUUAGAAAAUGCACAAAAUACAUCAGUACAAAAUACACUAAUGCUCGACAUAAGAAUAAAAAAGUCCUAAAUAAGUAUAGUUUACUAUAUUUUGUAAAAGGGGGUAUUUUUUAAAUUUCAUGUGUAUAUAUACCUAGAAGUAUGAGAGAGAGGGAGAGAGAGAGAGAGAGAUCACCUGGUGAAUUCCCUUGUGAGGAGAGAGAUUGACACCAAUAUCAGCAAUACAAGACAUAGUAAUCAGAUCAGCUGAAGUCAAGUGAGCAUGACGCCUUAGACAACUCUCCAUAUCAUUUGCAAGAGCUUUUGCAAGAGGGUAACUCAACAUGAACCCAGCUCCUCCAAAUCCUUGGUUAAACGAGAACCAAUAAUUCGACAUCACAAAUUCCGACUGCCCCCCAACGUAGUAAUACUUCCCAUGAUCCAACUCACCAAGGGCGUCGAUCAUGUUCUCCACCAAGAAAACCGAAUCGUCAUCCCCCAUCACGACCCAUCUAACGUUCGCGUCGCCCAUCUCCCUCACCACUUCCAUGAUCCCGUGAACCAUGCGGAUCAUAACCGGGGCCCGUGCCCUGCUCUCCUGCAAGAGUUUCGUUAGGUCGUCUGAAACCCUAUACGGAGGCGAGGCACGGGACCAUGGCACGAGGUCCCCCGUCGGGGCCUUGUCCAAGUACAAAACUCCACGUGUCACGUUUGGCCUCCACCACGAUUGUAUGUAGUGUUGCCUACCAUGCCACGCUUUUUCAGACCCUAAGAGUCCGAAAAGGACGUGGCUGAGAUUCGUUGGGGGCUCUGGGACCAGAGCCCCCGGGGAAAAGAAUUUGGAGUUGGGAUAAUGAUUGGGAAGGGAAACGAAGAUCAAAUAUGUAGAAAGGCCUAAAAAGAGCAGGAGAUUGGACACAUUUCUUGCAUUUUGAGACGAAAAUGGAAGAGCCAUUGAUUUCAAGAAUGUAAGAAUGGAGUGUUGCUUUCAGACAACCAUUUUUAUGGGACCUCCAACGUUAAUUGAUUUGCAGAGAUGAAUUAAUAUUUAUCUUGCCAUUGUUGAAUAUAAUAGUAAUACUAGUAAUAAUAUACUAUAUACAUAACAUGUUUUGUCUAGGAGUGAGCAAAACCGGACCAAAACCGACGGACCGGACCGAACCGAUCGGUUUUUUCGGUCCGGGUCGGUUUUGGUCCAUGUAUUGGUCUGGUCCGGUCCUAUUUUCUUGGACCGAAAAUAUUUCGGUUGGUCCCGUCCCGGGGAGGCCAAAACCGACGAAAACGGACCGAACCGAAUAAUAUAUUUUAAAUAUAUAAUUAAUAUUUUUAUUAAUAUUAUUAAUAUUUAUAUUAAUUUCUAAUAUUUUUAUUAAUAUUUUUAUUAAUAUAUUAAUAUUUUUAUUAAUUUCUAAUAUUUUUAUUAAUUUAUAAUGUUUUUAUUAAUAUUUUUAUUAAUAUUAUUAAUAUUUUUAUUAAUUUAUUAAUAUUUUUAUUAAUUUUUAAUAUUUUUAAAAAACGGUCGGUUUUGGACCGAACCGGACCGAGGACCGAUGACGGUUUCGGUCCGGUUUCGGUCCGGUCCUAAGGUUUCAGUUGGUCCGAUUCGGUCCAAAUUUUUUUUGAAAAUUCGGUCCUCGGUUUCGUCGGUCCGGUCCGGACCGACUGCUCCACCCCUAGUUUUGUCCAACUAUGAUAUAUAUAUAUAUAUAUAUAUAUAUAGGGUUGACUAAGAAUCAUGCUUUUUUACUUGAGUAAUUGCACUUAACUUAACAUAUAUAAGAGCAUUCACAUUGGACUCUACUCGUAGAGCGGGCGCGCCACAGCUGCGCGGCGCAGAGACAAGAAAGAGAGGGUGCGUGGGAAAUACGCACCAAUUAUAAUUAAGAACAAAUUGAGAACAUGAUAAUUAACAAAUUAUUUUGAAAACUACAUUUUUCGUAAAAACGUGAUAAUUGCAUUCAUUGUUAAAACUAAUAAACUAUCAAACAAAAAUUGCCAUAAUAAAAUUCGAACUCAGGUGAUGCAUCCAACAAGACGAUGCAUUACCGUAAAUCUUCACAAUCAAAUCGAAAAAAUUGAAAGUGGUUAAAUUGUCGGACUUGGACACAUUUCCUAGUAUAUAUAAUAUACACAUGCACAUGGGGUCCUCCUGUUAAAUUGUCAGACUUGGACAAAAUUAAACACGAUUAAAACCUCGUUUUAAAGGGCAAAUAUUUUGAAAAAAAUAAAAUAAAACCAACACAGAUUAAGUUGCCUGCACGAUUAAUACACUACUGCAUACACCCUGGCAAUUAUUAGGUUAAAACUUGCAAGACUUAUAUUUGUAUAAUUAAUUAGUUGAGCGUUGAGCAUCACAUAAUUGCUUUGCAAUAUAUGACAAAAAAAUUCAACUCGAACAUUGAUUUUCAAUGGCUUCCCUUUCACGUAAAUUUGAUUGUUAUAUAUAUGUUUAUUAUAUUAUCGAUAAUAUUUGCCUGUUUCGACUUAUUUGCUCAGCAUUGUGAAUUUUAGUAUUGGGGAGUGGGCAAAUGUUUUCGAAAAAUAGAAAUUAUAAUCAAACUAAGCUGAAAAACUAAAUUCAGUUCAGUUAAUUUGAUUUUUCUGAAAAUAAAAUUUGAAUUCUCGUUGGUUUAGUGAUUUUUAUUGUAUUUUUUAAUUAUUGAUUUUGGAUUGUUAAUAUACUAUCAUGCACUUAUUUGGUUUGUUAUUUGUAGAUUUUGACAAUUGUAACAUAAUUUUCCUAUUGAUGUAACUUUACGAAGCUGGUAUUAACCUUUUUGCUAAUAUGCUCACAGAGUUGAUAUCGAGAAGAUAUUGACAUAUUGUAAUGUUUUCUAACUCACCAAAGAUCUCUUUUAAAAUUAGUUGUAAUUCAUGGAACUAUCUAAUCUACUCCCUCCGUCCCACGACACAUGAGUCAUAUUCUUUUUUAGGUCGUCCCACGAAACUUGUUACAUUUUCUUAUAUGACAAAAGUUUUUUCCUUUAUUUAAAUUUUCACUUUUUCACCUACCACACUUAACACACUAAAUACUACUUUCUUAAACUAUGUGCCCAAAAGAAAUGACUCGUGGUUGUGGAUGUUAUUCGUUAUUAUUAGUAUUAUGUUUGUUUUUUUUUUAAGAAAAAUUUCCAAAAUAUACAAAAUGCCCAGAAAUGUACGAACCCCGUACAAGUUCAAUCUCCACCAACGUAAAUUCCUGGCUCCGCCACCGAAAGUAAGUCAAUUGUAACAACACGCAUGUAUAGUUUCCUCUCCCAAUUCUUUCAUCUUCUUAUUAUUUUUAUUUUUUUCUAACAUAUAACUGAAUUAAGAGAGGGAAAAUAUAACAGAACCCGUCACCCAACAUCUUCUGAAAUAUCUAAGGCACCGCCACAAUUAACAAUUUGAAAAGCCUUAUUCAAGAAAUUCAACCCACGCUAACGAAAUAAAUUUCUGGCUCCGCCACUGAUGUACAGAUUACAAGAAGAUGCAAAAGAGCUACCACGGUUUGAGAUCGGCGACGGGGCCGGCGUCCCAGUUCAAGAAUGCCUGGCCUGGCUUCAAGAAGGCGGCGUUGGGGUGGGGCAGCUUUCGAGCAAGGCCGUUCAAGAUCUGAUGGAAGGCGUCGCCCGGCUGCGCAGGCUGCGGGAACAGCAUGGCC